rnacentral:lncRNA from 7 species
GAAUAGCCCUGAAUACUGUGCAUGGUGAAAUCGUUCGGUUGUUAGCAAAAGAGAGAGAGAGAAAAAAAAUGUGCGAACUCAAAGCAUGACCUACUAAAGGUGGAAUGCAAAAUAAAACAGCAUAUGUUCUUGCAAAACUACGUACACAGACGACCUUUCUAGGAACUCCCUACUGUGAUUACUUUCUUAAACAUGGUUCUGCAGGCCAGUGACUUUGGGAAAACGUGCCGGUAAUGCAGAAGUUCAGAACGUCAUCCCAUAGACGAAGAAACCCACAUCGAGCAUACACGUGUAGGGAAACCAGUGAUUAUUGAAUCAGAAAUAAUUCAGGGUCGUAGGUUAGCAGAUGAUGAUGACUUGGUCGUCCCUCUGAAUCAGCACCACGGUAAGAACAGUCAGUAACUGAAAUCAGAAGUUCAAUAGGAUUAGGACGCGAAGGAACAUAGGCACAAGAGAAACAAUACUCAAACACUGAAGUUCACUUGGCUUCUGC